UGGGGAAUUUUGGACAAUGGGCGAAAGCCUGAUCCAGCAAUGCCGCGUGUGUGAAGAAGGCCUUCGGGUUGUAAAGCACUUUUGUCCGGGAAGAAAUCCUUGGCUCUAAUACAGUCGGGGGAUGACGGUACCGGAAGAAUAAGCACCGGCUAACUACGUGCCAGCAGCCGCGGUAAUACGUAGGGUGCAAGCGUUAAUCGGAAUUACUGGGCGUAAAGCGUGCGCAGGCGGUUUGCUAAGACCGAUGUGAAAUCCCCGGGCUCAACCUGGGAACUGCAUUGGUGACUGGCAGGCUAGAGUAUGGCAGAGGGGGGUAGAAUUCCACGUGUAGCAGUGAAAUGCGUAGAGAUGUGGAGGAAUACCGAUGGCGAAGGCAGCCCCCUGGGCCAAUACUGACGCUCAUGCAGCGAAAGCGUGGGGAGCAAACAGGAUUAGAUACCCUGGGUAGUCCACGCCCUAAACGAUGUCAACUAGUUG
rnacentral:rRNA from 1 species